rnacentral:lncRNA from 1 species
UGAGCAGAAGAUCUACAACAACAAUAAUAGUCGAGACAAGAGUCAGAAUGGUAGAGGUCGUUCGAAGUCCAGAGGCAAGCUGUUCUGUAGGUAUUGCAAGAAGAAAACUCAUGUCAUUGAGGUUUGUUGGAAGCUGCAAGAAGAAAACGCAUAGGCUAUCUUUCCAUCAAGACGUGCAGUCUUCAAUCUGAAAUAUUCAUAUGUAGUUGAUGACAUGCUUGGUGAUAUGGCUGAUCUUCUCAGACUCGGAGGAGCUACCUGAAAUAAUGGAAUCAUGCAGCUUCUUGCUGCAAGUCAACUUGAGAAACCUUGGAUUCACACAUGGUACGUAUCGUGGAAGUCUCUUUAUGGUCCGGUCGUUCAGCUCUAUGCUGAUGAGUACAGGGACUUCUUAACCCACCAAAUUUCUUUGGUAUUACCACAUUGGCAUUCGAACCAUACAUAUCAAGAGUUCUGAUAUGCAUAAGUUGUAUAAUGGUUCUAGGAAGAUUCUCCAAAUGUACAGAGCCUAAAAGCACAAUAUGUUGUAGAAACUUCAUAUCGUCGAUGUCGUCUCGCAGCCCUCUAAUCCCAAGUAUCUUAGAUGCCUCAACUGACAUAGGGAACCAACCAACCUAUCACAAUCUCCACCAUUAAUACAAAAUACCCUUAGCAUAAAGAAACUAUUCAACGAAUCACUUAGGUCAAAGUUGAUCUUGGAAUUUAUAAAUAAUGUUCUUACGCACUCUUGUUUUUGUAGAGCAGCCAAUCCAGGUACCAAACUAGUUGGUCCUAUGGACAAGCGAUGAAUAAGACUAUCGUUACGACCACUUGCAACUUGCAUGUCCUGCACCACAAGCGACUCUUCUCUUGCCAUAAAUUCAACAAAGGAGCGCACCACAUCAUGCAUUUCGCAAUGGUAUGCAGCUAAAGAAUUUUCCGGUUCUAUAAGAUUCCUGGUGACUAACUCCUGGAAGUGCUCGGCUGCUAUUUCUUCUAGUUGGUCAUCAUGUGAACUACUUUGGUCCGUGUAAGGUUGGAUGAAUCCCUCACUAAUCCACAUGGGAAUAACAAUACGCCUCCGAAUACAUGUACCUUUUGGAAAAAAUGAACAGUAAAGGAAGCACUGCUUCUGCUGGGAAGACAAAUCCUCGUAACUCAAAUAGAUUCGCCUGUCCAGCUCCUUGGGCAAUCCAGCUACUGACCAUGCAUGAUGGUUCAAAACAGCCUCCCACUCACGCUCACUUCUAGACCUCGUACUUAGCAAUCCUCCCAUCACUUUGACAGCAAGUGGUAAGCCAUCACAUUUUAUGACAAUUUUCAUCCCAACAUCUCUUAGGUAAUCAGUUCCAACUACCUGUCAAUAAUCGAGACAAAUGAAUUCUGUGCUUGUGUGAGUGCAUUUUUAUUUAAAUUAACAUGAAGAUGCCAUAGUUACGAUUUAUAAUUAACAACUAAUAUGAAUUCUUUUCACUCUCUACUCUGGAAGAAUAAUAUGCUAAGGUUCUAUUUGGGGUUGGAUGUAAGCACAUCAAUGAUUGGUCUGUUGAGGGUGCUGGGCGAGUGGGCCUGGCGUUCUGCUUUUGUCAAAACCAAUUUUAAAAACCAAUAGCGUUCUGCUUUCCUUAAUUAAUUAUUCCAUGCAAUUUAAGGAAAAAAAUGUUUGUGCUUUUACAUCUGAAGUGCACUCGAAUUGAGACAUGCAAACUGUAAAUACGUACGGUGCCCCAAGGACCAUUUCUGCAUAUAUUACUAAUUAUAGGCUUUUUUUGAGCUUCUAUGUAUGUGCUAAAAAAUAUAAAUCCUAUAAAUUCUUAUAAAAAAAGGAAACAUAAUGCCAUUAAUUAUAUAUGUAGGUUCUCGUCAUCAUUGACAAAAACAGCCAUGUUUUUUCUAAAAAAAUUACCCACCUUUGUUAUUAUGAAAAAACCAAUCUUGCUCAUUAAUUACCCAGCUCAGUGACUUUUAAAAAUGACCCACAAUAAAUAUGUAACUAAAUUAUCCAUCUAAUCCCUCAGUCAUGUAAUACAAGAUAUCUAAGUGUUCAAAAUUUAUCUCCAAUACAAGGCAUUAUUGUAGGUACAUUUGGAUGGUGGUCAUUUAAUUCUUUCUAUAAUUAACAACAUAAGGGUGACUGAUUGGUGGAUUAUUAAAAAAUAAGUUCCUUGUUAUUUGCAAUUACCAUUAACACAAGGGUACAUGCGUCUUUUGAUGGCGGAGAGAGAAUCAAUCACUACGCUAAAAAUGAUUUGUGCUUGCACACGGAAAUUAAUGUGCUGGCAGGUAGGUUGGCACCCACUACCACAAAGAUGCCAAAGGCCGGCCCGCCAGCACAGAUGGAGGUGCAUCUGUGCUGGGUUAGGUGGCCCACCACCACAGAUGCCGCACAAAUAUUCUCACGGAUAGCGUUUUCCUCAUCCAAUCUUCCAUUUGGAGCCUGCUUGAGAGGAGCUCGGGAAAAGUUCCAAAAACACUGAAUACUAGGGGAGGUUUUGUUAUUGAAUUUUUCAAGGUGAUUUGUAAGUUUCCAUGGUUUUAAGUAAUUUUAAACAUGGCUAUUGGAAUUUUUUUAUGAUCUAACUAUAUUCAUAAAAAAACACAUUCGUGGAUAGAAAUAGAAAGACUUGUAAGGACACAUCUCAAAUCAUGGAAAUUGAUGAAAUAUUCACAUGUUUCCUAGGUUUAUCUGUAAUUCUAUUUACAUUUCGAUUUAAAUAAAUUAUAAUAACAUUUAAACUUGAUCCGUAAAUCAUGAUAAUUGGUAUUGAAUAAUUUUGCCAUUAUCCAAAGUUAAGAAAACAACAUAUUUUGAGAUAGUAGAACAACACAUGCUUCACAAAAUGGAGACACACCUCCUCAUAACCCUAUAACUCAAGAGGAGUUCCAAGGUAGAGUAACAUGUGAAUUAACUAGCCAAAAUAUUUACUCCUUCCGUUCCUUAAUAUAAGCCAUAUAGUUUUUAGAACUAAUAUUAACACACGGCUUGGGAGGAAAAAUCUGUUGCUUUUGUACGUGAAUGGCACUUGGGGAAGGCAUGUGCUAUGUAUGGUUGGAAGGUUUUCAAACUAAUCGGUUCUUUUUUCUAGAGUUUUUGUUCCACAUGCGUGGGAAGCUGGCGUGGGAGCUGAUACGUACGUAUAUUUUGUGAAUUUUCUUUAGAAAUCUAUAUGGCUUAUAUUAAGGAAUGGAGGGAGUAUAUUUUAUAUCAAAAUAUACUUUUUAGGUGCACUCUAACAUGUAUUUUCAUGCAUAGAAAUUUAAAACAUGUUUGAACUCGUCUAGCAAUUCUUUAAAAAUAUUUUAGAUUUGACGAAAAAUAUGUGCUAGCAAGCUAUAAUACCACUCGCUAGCACAGACGGUCUCUGCUGGCAAGAGGUAUUAUAGCCCGCCAGAACAGAUCACUCCCUUAUAAGGCGCUAGGGAGGCACCAAAAUUUUCCGAGUCCCGGAGCGAAACUGAAUCACGCCAUGAGGCAACAAAAUUUUCACGCCGUGUCUGCCACCGUUCUAUCCGCUCCUUUGUCAACGACUGCACUUGACCCCGCUCGUGUGCUGCUACCUUGUCCUCUCUGCCCUCAGCUGCAUGGGCCUUCGACUGUGUGUCGCUGCUUCGUCCUCCCCGCUCUCGACCGCGCACCACCAUCGUCACUUGCGCCCUCUGCUUCUUUCUCGAGCUCACCUCUACUCCCGACCAGACACGCACCUCACUCAUCUCUGGCCAUGCCCCGAGCGCCACUGCGCCUCCAAGCUCACACCUCCAGCCCCCUCGGCUCCCGUAAGUACAACAACUACCUAGAACAUCACCACCGAUUCAUAUAGUUGUGCACAUCUAGGGAGCAUCAAAUCAGUCGAUGAUCACAAAUUAUGUGAUCGUUGGGGCAAUGGCUAGUUCUUGGAGUUGGAGAUAUAAAUACCCCAUUGCCUAGCCAUUUCAUAUGGGUUUGAGCUUGUAGAAGCUAUAGGCUUGGUGUCCACAUAUACACAAGUGCUCUAUAUAUCCAAAAAAAUGCUAAAGAGAAUAUUAAGGCAAUUAGUAUAAGACUUAGAUUUGGAUUAGUGCUAGCUUAGGCCUAUUACCGCAUUGCUUUAGAUAUUAGCCCAAAGUCAGGUGAGGUUUGCACACCUCUUUGGUACUAGUGGUUGCGCGCACCAACCAUUGUAAAUCUGAGGCUUGUAAGUCUUGUGAGAUCCUCCAACCACGUUUUGUGGAGUGGUUGCUGGUGCAUGUGAAACGAAGGAGAGGCCCCUGGCCAAAGCUCUACCAUGUGAAGGAUGGUGUGGAGAAUCCGAGAGAGGCUAAGCGGAGAUCCACUUGCACUUGGGAAAGGCUCACAUCGGGUUUCCUAUGGAGUUAUUUGACAGAGGAGUUUAUACCCUUUUGUGGGCAAUCCCUUGAGAGGGGUUCCAACAAUGAGGACUAGUGGAAAGCUUUGCUUUCCGAUAUCUCGGUAAAAAUUAUCGUGUCGCCGUGCAGGCAGUUUGCAUUCUCCACCCCUUUACCUUCCACAUUCUUUAUUGCACUUUACUUUCUAUGUUUAAAUUUGCUAGAAUUGCCAUGUCUAGUUUAUAGGAUUGGAAUCUAGGGUGCAAAACUCUUUUGUGGUUGAGAUAGCGACACAUAGAAAAUUCUAGUGCACAUCUAGUUAGAAAUUGAAAUAUAUUUUUAUAUGUGCUUAGAACCUUAAUUUUUAGAACACCCAAUUCACACCCCUCCCCCCUCCUUAGCUACAGGGUGUCAGGGUCCCUUAAAUAAGCACCAGCUAGAAAAAAGAAUUGUGCUGGCGGUUAUUGUAACCAUACCGCCAUCACAACAAGCACUUGCCAGCACAAAUAGGCAUUUGUGCUGGUAGAAGGUUGCUGCAGGUGUGGAACCCGCAAGCACAAACCUCUUUUGGCUGCCAACAUAAAGCUUUGUAGGUGCACACCACAUCAUCCCCGAGACGCUGAUGGUCACGUGUGGACUGAAUUAAUUAGUCAGCAAUAGGUGCACAUGAUUUGAGGUUACUUUAUGUUUUUCUUAAUAACGCAUGGGUAAUUUUACAAUUAUGUAUACAGUACCGAAGUGAAUAUGCUUGUCGCUUAGAAUGACUGUACUUGAGACUUGACUCGCUUCAACGAGACGAUCUACAGGCCAAAGCAGAGCAAACUACAAGAAGUUAGAUAAAAAGCCAAUUGACUAGCCUGCUCAUCAAAUUAAACUGCUCAUCACUGAUUACUGAUGGGUUUGUCGCAACUGAUGUUUUUUUAUAUGUGUUCUCUCAAGCUCUGUCAGCAUUUACGAACAGAGCCAGCUCAUCUGAAUUCUACUGGAGCAAUGCCCCAAUGGAACUAGCAGAAUAUGCAUGUCAGCAAGAUGUGGUAAAAAGCGAGAAAAACUUUACUGAAAAUAUGAAACAAAACGAGGAGGACAGCAUAAUAUUCCUAUUCUCAGCUGGGGCGUCUACGUCGACGAUGCUGACAAGGAAGGUGUUGAGGAUGUCCUCCAUGUCGUAGGACGCCUCCCUGACCUCGCUAGCCCACAGCCAGACUUGUGGAUCCAGCUGCUCUGGCGGCACCUCACCCACCUUGCUUAGAGCCGUCUCCGCACUUUCGAGCUCAUGUUUCAGAGACUCGAUCUUUUCAGGCAGGCCCUUCUGCAGCUUGUACUCCUCAUGGAGCAGCUCGCCGAGCUUGCCGAUGACGCUGCCCACUGCCCCGGCCACAAGAUCCAUGCCUAGCUAGCUCUUGAGAUGAAAAAAUAAGCUUGGCAUGUGCAGAGCUAAUAUAACAUGUAAACACCUGCAAGCAUACAAGGCCAUUGACAGUAAACACGUGAUAGAAAUAUGUAGAAAUAUCGCUGUAUAGACGGUGUAUACAUGUAGGAAGGAAGUGACGAAAAUGAAGAUUUUAAUGCCAAACACAUAGCUGAAAUUAAAGGUUCCUGUAAUAAACACAUAUCAAAUAUGGAUGAAAAAGUGAUCACAAUCGAAUAAAGAUAGCUAAGUACUGGUGGACUAGUAGGUUAAUUACUAACUGGAGGGACGGGGCUAAUGAAAAUGAAGAUUCUAAUGCCAAACACAUAGCUCAAACUGAUGACUAUGGACUCACCAAGUUGACACAAGUGCAAUCAAAUAUCAAUAUAUAUGUGUAAGAACGGUAGCAAGGUGGUAGCAGUGUGUCACUGAUACUAGAUCUAGAUCAUAUGAAAUGGGAAGCCACCAGAAAAGAAAAAAUAAGGCGACUAAGGACAAUUCAUUCAAAAGAAAGAAAGAAAUCUAGAUCGAGGCCAUUAAGCAAGAAUUAUAGAUAAGAUAUGGGGAGCCAAAUUAAAGUCACGCACCUUGCUGGUUCAGAUCUUCGAUUGUGCUUGAGGAAAGAAUAAAGGAUUGAUGGGUAGUUGAGUUCAAGAUGAAGGAUUGUACUCCACCUGGAGCAGCUCUCCGAGCUUGCCGAUGACCCUGCCCACCGCCCCGGCCACAAGAUCCAAUAUCCUCUGCCGGCCAGAAUAGGAUGUUGGCCGCUCCAAUGAUGACUUAUCAGCUGGACUACAAGACAACAGACAAGUCAGACAAGAAGAAGGUGGAGUCCAAGAUGCGCCUCCAAGCUUGUCCAAGAUGCGCCUCCAAUGGCUUGGUGCCAACCAGCUAGCAUAAGGUAGUACUCCAAAACUUGUCGUUUUCUUUCCAGUAGUUAUCGGAUCAGCUCAUCAUCUGUCACAACUCUGUUCUCUGUCGUUUUCUUUCCAGUAGUUAUACUGCAGCCGCGGCUGACAUGUAUAGAUCACAAAAAGGCACAAGAUGUUGGAGAAUCUGUGCAGUACUAUGUCACCGGAAAUGAAGACCAAAGUGAGCAAACGGAUCCAUGGUGCGAAAUUAAGGCCGAACUGAAGUAGUAGCAUCAGUUUUUACAUGACGCUACUUCGUUGCUAAACAGAUGAGCUCCCGCCCAUCUAGCAUUCAGUACUACUUCACAGCCAACAUCUAGUUGUUCUACUCUUGUAGAUUAACAAACGAAUUAUCUUCCACAAGUAUAGGAAACGAAUUAUCUUUCAUAAAAGUAUUUCAAAAUUAAUAUUACUCCGAAUGGGUCGUUUUGGCUCUUCAACUAGAUAUACACUAUGUGCAGAUGCAUAAUAAUAUCUAUGAUCUUAGAAAGGUUAAAAAUGAUCUACAAUUUGAAACGAAGGGAGUAAUAUGAAAUAAAUAAAAGAAACCAGAGGCCCUACACCCCUGCUGAAGCAGGGUAGUAUCGCUCAACUUUUUCGUCAGAUAUCCAUUCUGUUUGGUUCGUUUCUUCCGUGUUUCAAGCAAGUGUACACAAGAACUUAGGAGAGCAGAAGUUUGCGCGGUUGCCUCUUUAGCAGACGUCAGAAUGUCUGAGUGAGGCGAAACAGACAAUUGUUGGGGAUCCAAAAAAAGGUUAUCACCCUCAACCGUGUUUGAGUCUUAACUCGCCUGGCCAUCGCGUAAAAGCCUCUAGCUUCGGACAGCUGCUGCGGUACGUUAGCUUCGGGUAGGACCGAAACCGGCAUUCUCUCCGAAGUUAAGGAACUGACUAACGGGUAAAGCAACCUCGCUGUGAAGAUUCCUUGUCUUUUGUGUGCAGGAGGAAAGGUGAAUCACCUCGUCAUAACAACUAGCCAACAAAGCAAAAGACAGGCGAAAGCACGGGAGAGCUCCCCACAUGAAGCCUCAGCGAAGCCGACUGCGCCUGAGCUUCGGACGGCCAAAGCUACCGAGGUUACGCCCGACUUCGGUGACGAGGUCAAGGUGCAUGGGGACGUGAACGACAUAUGAGCGUGAUUUGCAUGACCUUGUGAGAGCGCAAAUCACGAGGCUGUCAAACGGCAAAGAAAAUAUGAUGUACUAAAGAUCAAAUUGUAAAGUAUAUUUUGGAAAUGUAGUGAUUGAGUAGGGGCAAAUGUGUAAUAGGAAAUGUUGUCUCAGGCACUGUAAAAGGAGGGAUUCACCCCGUGUAAGGACUUACUUGCACUGCAUUUAUGAAAUAACCGCUGAACAGUUGAGGAAUUAAUUUGUGGAUUCGUUUCGCCUGCUUUUUGACCGAAGUUAAGUGAUUUGGAUCCUACUGACUCCCAGAUACUACUAGAAAACUCGGUAUUAGUACCGAUUCGUAGGGUGCAUAUUUUCCGAAAAUGCAUCCAGAAUUAAUCCGUCGAGAUAAAGGGGGUCUUUUAUCACGGAUCCCAAAACCAAGACAUAAGAUCCCCUUUUAGUCCCGGUUGGCAUUAACAACCGGGACUAAAUGGUUUUGCAAAAAAAAUUACAAAAAUAAAAAAAAUAUCGAACCCAUUUGUCACAUGAAAUAUGCGCGUGCGCGGUCCGUGGGAUUCGAACCCAUGAACUCAAGCCUCGCGUGUAGCUUCCUUGCCAUCCCACCUACACAACACAUAUAUCUAUAUAGGGGAUGCUAUUCUUUUGUAUUAACUCAUGGAGGACCCUUUAGUAACACCAACCGGGAUUAAAGACCUUAUUUAAUCCCGGUUGGUAAUACCAACCGGGAUAAAAAGGUUCGAGGGAUUUAGUCCUUUCCCAGCCACACAUGAGGGACCCUUUUUUAUCCCGGUUGGAAACACCAAUGUGGCGGAACCACCUCGGAUUAGCUUGAUUAAGCAGGGUUAAGCCGCUUAACAUGCGACACUCCUGCCUAAACCGAGUUAAUACGAAGUGCCGUCGGAUUUUCCUCCGAUUUAACCACUUAAACAGGAUCGAGUCUAGCAAACCCACACGAAGGUGAGUGGUUACAGAGAAUACAACGAGUCCACUGAGUUAAACAAGUUUUACCCAUUUAGUUCGGUCAUAAAAUCCAACAUCAAGGUUUUACAAGGUUCAAAAGACACAACAGAGAAAAACACUAGCGGAAGACUUCGUCGGGGUCGGACAUCCCUGGUGAGGCCAACCGGGACAUCACUGGUUCCUCUCCUCGCCGUCCGAGGAAGGAUCCCACUCGACCGUCCAGCCUGGCGGAAGCUGGGGCGGCCAAGCACCAACAAGAGAGGGGUCGGGAGCAGCAACCUCACCUGAAAAACAGGAGCCACAACAAGGCUGAGCUACUAAGCUCAACAAGACUUAACCGAUAGGAGUAAACUACUCCUCCUUCUAGACAUGCAGGGCUUUUUGGCUGAGGGGUUUGUUUGCCAAAAGCACUAAGUAACAACCCUAUUUUCCAAGUUUUAGCUCCGGUUCUAAGUUCAUUAGCCGGUCUAGGUUUUACAACCUAUUCUAAGCAAUCAUAGAGCCAAACAAGAUGUGUAGAUAUAUCAACCAAACAUUGCCAUCAUCAGAUUCCUCAUUUACUCAGGGUGACAUAGCGAUCAAGUAAUCUCAAACUGUGAGAGGCAGACGAAUCGAUUCGAGUUCUUUAACCAUGCAUGGUGAACCUAGCCUCACGACAUCCGCACACCCGAAGGUCGCUUCCUGUGUCGGCCUUCCCCAUUAAUCCCCUAACCCGUGUCGGGUCCAUUUCCUUUGGUGCAAGGUUCCACAGACCCGGCCUCUGCCGUUCUGUGACCACGCUUGCCACCACGUGCGACAACCAGCAGGGGAAACUCCGUUCCAAGAACAAUGGGGCGACCGCUCACGUCUAGGUUCAAUCCGGUACUAGGCUUCCUCAUCCCAUACUAAGUAUGAGGCUAGUACUUUCAAACACUUGAUCACGAACACCACCACUGUCGGGCCUUAUCAAGAUUUCAUAGACAGACAGGGCGACCAUCCGACCACCAAAGAGUUACCAAAACCCUGCCCCGUCCAUCGUCCUUAUAGUUAUAACAGGAGAGUAAACAUGCAACUCCUACAACUCGCAAGUGACAGAAAAUCACUCGACUUUUACCGUCUCCUAGUUAAGCAAUGCAACUACGCGGUCCAACAGCUAGUGCUCAGGUCAUUGGGACAACUAAGUCAUGCAUCUAGGGUUUCACACAACUCCUAUACGUAAAUGCACAAGCAUGUUACAGAAGGCAUGCGCAAGUCUGGCAAAACACGUAGGAUUUUCAUGCAACCGGGGCUUGCCUUCAAGCAAGGAGGACGGGAACUGCUCGACUUCGGGGGCGACUUCGGCUUCGGAGGACAGGAGCUCGGCUACAGCUUCCUCUUCUGGCGCCGGGUGAAGCUCGUAGAAGCCGUCGGCGAGGUGCAGCUCUACACGAAUGCAAUGCACAAGGGUUAGCAUAGAUAGUUAUUCAACAGCAACACUGGCUUGCCUGAGCCCAGAAACUCGCGACAAGGAGCAGGAGGUUAUGGUGGUUCAAGAGAGCUGAUGAUGAUCAAGAGGUAAGGGUAGGAAAGGAACUUAUGAUCUGAUUCUUGAACUAGAGGAUGUGGGAAAAACUAGGGAUCCUCAGACGCAAGCGCUGAAGGGUUCCUAAGUUUUACACAUACACCCUCGGGUUGAAGAAAAAGACCACAGCCGAACCCUUGGGCGAGGCGGAUAAGGGUCGGCGGAACAGAUAGGGUCGGGCGAGACGGAACCGGGGUCGGGCGGAUAGGAGGGGUCGGGCGAGGCGGACUGGGGUCGGCAACUCACCUUCUUCCUGAAAGGAAAGCUUGGGGUCGGGAAGAGGCAGACUUGGGCGGAGGGACUAAGGUUUGAACAGAAGCUAAGACCGGAAAUGCUCCGGCGGCGGCGCUGCUUCUUGCGGAUCACAAGAGAGCUUUGACGCAGUACGGAGGAGCAAGCUGCUGGGUGACUUGGAGAAAAUUGAGAGAGAAUCUGAGAGAAGAACUCCUCAAGAACUGGGUGGGUGGCGCUAUGAGCUUGAGCAGAGAGCGAGAGAAGGCUGAAGGCAACAAGGGCGGAGGGAACUCCGGCGACGGGGGCAUUCCUUUUAUAGCUGCUGGAGCAGAGGAAAGGAAGCGGCGCGGGAGAGAGAGAAGGGAAGCGGCGCGAAGGCCGGGGAGAGGCAAUGGAGUGCUCUGCCGUGGCGGUGAUUGAGCGAAGAGGGCGGUGGUGCAGAACUCCGGGGGUGACGCCAGCGAUCAUUGCGUUCUGCCGUCAGGGCGGCGUAGGAGCGGGUAGACUGGUGGUUGAGAUUUGGCGGAAAGCGGGCGUCGCCGUGCGGAAGAUUUGAUAGAAGCGACCGGUUUAACGGCGCUAGAAUCGAGGGCGCACAGGUGAGAAGACAGGCGGACGCGGGCGCGCGGGCAAGCGCGGAACAACAGAUUGUUGGGCGGCUUCUGACAGAGCGGGGGAAAGGAGCUGUCGCGGCCGCGGUCGGGGUUGGCGGUGGAGGAAUCGUCGUGUAGCGGCGACCGGGCGGCGCGACUGUGGCUGAAGGGACGGAAAAGACGGGCGACAUCGGGCUCUGGGGCCGGGAUCUGGCGGCGUGAUGAUGGGCGCGGGAGGCGAGGCUCUGCAGAAAGGGGUGCAGAGGGGCUUCCGCUGCCAUUGGGGAAGGGGGCGCGAGAACCCACUCGGUCGCUUGCCAGAGACAAAACUGAGCGGCGGGCGUCGGAGAAGACGAGCCACGCGGCAGGAAGACUGUGAGGCGGCCAUGCAACUCGAGUGCGACUGUCACGGAGGAUCUGGGAAAAAGAUCUUGCGGGUCCACCGGUGGAGAGAACGGUGGUUGAGGAAGAUUAACAGGAUCCGACGGUGGGCUGUGCUUGCCGGGGUCGGGAGAGGAACGAAGCGGAGAGGGGUCGGAUCUCAGGGGUCGGGACCAGCCGGAUAGCGGAGCACUCGGUGCGGGAAAAAGCAAGGUAGAUGACUAGGAUCAAGGGCUCUGAUCAAGACUAUCUGGGAAGGUUUAGGGGUCGGUCGUUACAACCAAUCGGGAUAAAAAUGGUCCGAGGGCUUUAUUCUUUUUUCAGCCACCCGUGGGGGACCUUUUUAUCCCAGUUGGAGUUUUCAACCGGGACUAAAGGACCCCCUUUUAUCCUGGUUGCUUUAGUCCCGAGCGGUAAUACCAACCAGGACUAAAGGGUGACCUUUUAGUCCUGGUUGAUCUUACCAACUGGGAUUAAAGGGUCCCCUGCGUGUGCCUGAAUUUUUCAACCAGAACUAAAGGAUCUCCACGGGUGGCUGAUUUUUUGAACCGGGACUAAAAGGUUCCCUUUAGUCCCGAUUGCAAAUACCAACCGGGAGUAAAGUGUAGCGCACCCCCUUUUCGCCCGGGCUAAAAUUAAACCGAGACUAAAGGGGGUGGUAUCUAAAGUCAGUUCUCUAGUAGUGAGUGUUUGAGUACGAGCGAGGCUCGGACUCAACAACAAUCCUCAAUGCUUGAGUUUGGUUCUGGCACCUGCACCAGGUUACUUGUAGACACAAAUAUGUUGCUUUUUCUUGCUCUUGAUCACACAAAACACACACUUUGUAGACACAAAUGUACAAUACCUAGUCAAUUUAUAGUUACAAGUAGCCAACAAUCACCAACUAUAGUCAAUUUAUAGUUACAAGUAGCCAACAAUCACCAACUAUAGUCAAUUUAUAGUUACAAGCAUGCCGCUGCCACUACCACCACAAGUAGUUGCCUGCUUGUCGUCGACCACCGCCGCAGAUUCUUGUCGUCGACCACCACAAGUAUCUCCGGUUAUCCAGUUACUACUGACCAUCAAGGACUUGUCAAAGCAGCAUUCCACUCACGCUCUAGGCAUACAGAUAUAUUUGACAAUACGAUGCCCGUCUGCAUCUGUGCCUAGUCAAAUUAAAUGAAAGCUUUCAUCCCUGUUGACGGCACAAAUAUUUGACGAAUUAGCAACGAUGCAUGGAGAUUCCAUGGAUACAGACAAGGAAUAGGAGUACAAACAACAGAUGGGAAUCUAGAAACAAUUAACUUUCGGCAUAGAGGAAGAAUAAUGCGAGUUACCUGAACGCAUAGGCUAUCUUUCCAUCAAGACGUGCAGUCUUCAAUCUUCAUCUGAAUCUUCUUCGACGUAGUUGAUGUCAUGCUUGGUGAUAUGGCUGAUCUUCUCACACUCGGAGGAGCUACCUGAAAUAAUGGAAUCAUGCAGCUCCUUGCUACAAAUCAACUUGAGGAACCUUGGAUUCACACAAGGUAGGUAUCCAGGAAGUCUCUCUAUGGUGCCGUCCUCCAGCUCUAUGCUGUCGAGUACAGGGACACCUUGC